CAGCAGGCGCGCAAAUUACCCACUCCCGGCACGGGGAGGUAGUGNCGAAAAAUAACGAUACGGGACUCAUCCGAGGCCCCGUAAUCGGAAUGGGUACACUUUAAACCCUUUAACGAGUAUCAAUUGGAGGGCAAGUCUGGUGCCAGCAGCCGCGGUAAUUCCAGCUCCAAUAGCGUAUAUUAAAGUUGUUGCGGUUAAAAAGCUCGUAGUUGGAUGUGUGUCCCACGCUGUCGGUUCACCGUUCGUCGGUGUUUAACUGGCAUGCCCGUGUGGACGUCCUGCCGGUGGAUGCGGUCGACCGUGGGCUUCGGCGCGCGUGUCGGCGGUCCGAUGCAAUCCUACCGCGGUGCUCUUCACCGAGUGUCGAGGUGGGCCGGCACGUUUACUUUGAACAAAUUAGAGUGCUCAAAGCAGGCAGUGGCUCGCCUGAAUAUUGUGUGCAUGGAAUAAUGGAAUAGGACCUCGGUUCUAUUUUGUUGGUUUUCGGAACAUGAGGUAAUGAUUAAUAGGGACAAAUGGGGGCAUUUGUAUUGCGACGUUAGAGGUGAAAUUCUUGGAUCGUCGCAAGACAAACCUAAGCGAAAGCAUUUGCCAUAAGUGUUUUCAUUAAUCAAGAACGAAAGUUAGAGGUUCGAAGGCGAUCAGAUACCGCCCUAGUUCUAACCAUAAACGAUGCCAGCUAGCGAUCCGCCGAAGUUCCUCCGAUGACUCGGCGGGCAGCUUCCGGGAAACCAAAGCUUUUGGGUUCCGGGGGAAGUAUGGUUGCAAAGCUGAAACUUAAAGGAAUUGACGGAAGGGCACCACCAGGAGUGGAGCCUGCGGCUUAAUUUGACUCAACACGGGAAACCUCACCAGGCCCGGACACCGGAAGGAUUGACAGAUUGAGAGCUCUUUCUUGAUUCGGUGGAUGGUGGUGCAUGGCCGUUCUUAGUUGGUGGAGCGAUUUGUCUGGUAAUC
rnacentral:rRNA from 1 species